rnacentral:rRNA from 1 species
CCAAUAGCGUAUAUUAAAGUUGUUGCAGUUAAAAAGCUCGUAGUUGAAUUUCGGGGUUCUUCCGUUGGUCAGGCUAACAAGUCUGUACUAACGUGUAGAAUUCCUACCUUCUGGGGAACCAUCAUGUUAUUAAUUUAGCGUGGUGGGAAACCAGGACCUUUACCUUGAAAAAAUUAGAGUGUUCAAAGCAGGCUUACGUCUGAAUACAUUAGCAUGGAAUAAUAAAAUAGGACGGUGGUCCUGUUUUGUUGGUUUCUGAAUCACCGUAAUGAUUAAUAGGGAUAGUUGGGGGCAUUAGUAUUCAAUUGUCAGAGGUGAAAUUCUUGGAUUUAUUGAAGACUAACUUCUGCGAAAGCAUUUGCCAAGGAUGUUUUCAUUAAUCAAGAACGAAAGUUAGGGGAUCGAAGGCGAUCAGAUACCGUCGUAGUCUUAACCAUAAACUAUGCAGACUAGGGAUCGGUCGAUGUUAAAUUUUAUUGACUCGUUCGGCGCCUUACG